UACGAGGGGGGCAAAUGUUGUUCGGAAUCACUGGGCGUAAAGGGCGCGUAGGCGGGUGUUUAAGUUAGGUGUUUAAUCCUGGGGCCCAACCCCAGUCGUGCACCUAAAACUGGACAUCUUGAAUAGUGGAGAGGUCAGUGGAAUUGGGGGUGUAGCGGUGGAAUGCGUAGAGAUCCCCAAGAACACCAGUUGCGAAGGCGGCUGACUGGACACAUAUUGACGCUGAGGCUCGAAAGCAUGGGGAGCAAACAGG
rnacentral:rRNA from 1 species